AUUUAUUGACUUAUUAUCAUGCUUCUUGGUGUGGAUCUUUUGCUAGUGAGUUCUUAUCCAUUCUGAGGUUCUGUAUCUCUUAAGCAGAGCAUUUAGGCCAUUUGCAUUCAAUGUUAGUAUUGAAAUGUGAGGUACCGUUGCAUUCAUCGUGCUCUUUGUUGCCCGUGUACUUUGGGUUUUUGUUUUUUGUUUUUGCUUUUUAACUUGUAUUUUUGUUUAAUAGGUCCUGUGUGAUUUAUGCUUUAAAGAGGUUCUGUUUUGAUGUGUUUCCAGGACUUGUUUCAAGAUUUAGAGCUCCUUUUAGCAGUACUUACAGUGGUGGCUUGGUAAGGGCAAAUUCUCUCAGCAUUUGUUUGUCUGAAAACAGUUGUAUCUUUCCUUGAUAUAUGAUGCUUAGUUUUGCUGCAUACAAAAUUCUUGGCUGAUAAUUGUUUUGUUUGAGGAGGCUGAAAAUAGGGCCCCAAUCCCUUCUAGAUCGUAGGGUUUCUGCUGAGCAAUCUGCCGUUAAUCUGAUAGGUGUUCCUUUACAGGUUACUUGGUGCUUCUGCCUCACAGCUCUUAAGAUUCUGUCCUUCGUCUUAUCUUUGGAUAAAUCAGGGAUAUCCUCUUAGUGUGGAUUCUUUGCUGGUGAACUAGUAUGAUUUUGCGGGGGCGUGUUGAAGAGCUUUGUUUUGUUAUAUUACCAGGGUUGGUUUCUGGUUCCUUCUCAUUUGGGUAGGCUCUGUCAGAGGGAAGGUCUAGGGUUGAAGGCUGUUGUUUGGAAUCUUUUGUCCCUCAGAGUGUUCCCUUGAUGUAAUACUUUCCCUCUUUUCCUGUGGAUGUGGCUUCCUGUGAGCCGAACUGCAGUGAUUGUUGUCUCUCUUCUGGGUCUAGCUACCCAGCGAGUCUACCCAGCUCUGGGGUGAUAUUGGGGUUGUCUGCACAGAGUCCUGGGAUGUUAACCUCUAUGGGUCUCUCAGCCAUGGAUACCGGUGCCCAUUCUGGUGUAGAUGGUGGGGGGUGUGCAAUGGACUCCAUGAGGGUUCUUAGCUUUGGUGGUUUAAUAUUCUAUUUUUGUGUUGGUUGGCCUCCUGCCAGAAGGUGGCACUUUCCAGAGAGUAUCAGCUGUGAUAUUAUGGGGAGGAACUGGCAGUGGCCAGGGCCCUAGAACUCCCAGAUUAUAUGCCCUUUGUCUUCCACUACCAGGGUGGGUAGGGAAGGACUAUCAGGUGAGGGCGGGGCUAGGUGUGUCUGAGUUCAGCCUCUCCUUGGGCAGGUCUUGCCGCGGCUGCUGGGAGGGAUGGGGGUGAGAUUCCCAGGUCAUUGGAGUUGUGUAUCUAGGAGGAUGAUUGCUGCCUCUGCUGAGUCAUGCAGGUUGUCAGGAAAGUUGAGGAAAGUCGGCAGUCACAGGCCUCACCCAGUUCCCACGCAAUCUGAAGGGCCGGUCUCACUCCCAUUGUGCCCCAUCAAUAGCCCCCAGACCAUUUCCAGCUGGAGAGCGAUACAGGCUUGAAAACAUACCCCAGGCUAUCUGCCUCCCAGCUGUGAAAGAAAAGGGCUUGGUUCUUUCCCUGCCUAAGGAGUCUGCACACCGGAUUUACAUCCUCCCCCGAGUGCUGGCCAGAAGGCUUCUCACCUGUUCAAAUUGUUACGAAGUUCAGUUAGAGAUUUGCUUCUCCCUGUGUAGUUUUACCCCCUGCUCCUCUCCCGUUGGAUCCCUGUAUUGCCAGGCAGGAAUGGCCUGCUACAGGACCCCGCGAGCUCCCAGGGCCUUUCUGCUGCUUUCUGUACCCCUGUAUUUCACUCGGCUCUCCAAAUGGACUCAGCUCCAGGAAUCAGAACCCGGAACCCAACGUGACCAGACUCUCCUUGUCUUCACUGCUUGUUUCUGCUGUGCUUCUUGGAUGCUCUCCCUGUGCUAGGGAAGCAGCUGACCACAGAGAUCACAUCCUCCCAGUUUUAACCACUCCUGAAGAAAGACAGUCCCCUUCCCCAGGGUCCAUAUAUUGAUCUCACAGAAGGACCCUGAUUGGCUUUGUUUUGUGCUGUUCUCACCCUUGAAUCAAUCACGCUGCCAGAAAGGAAGGGCUCGUGAUGGGCCAAGAACUGUUUUUGUGGUGAGGAGAGCGGGUUCUGUUUCCAGGAGGAGGGAGAUGAGAAAGCUUACUGGGCAAAAGAAACAAACAAAAAAACCCCAAACCAAUUAAACAAAUACAAGCAAUAGGUACUACCAUCUGUAAACCAAUUCUGGAUAAAGAUUUGGGGAAUGGGUCUGAGAAAGGCAUACAUUUCAGUCUGGGGACAUUUUCUUUGUUCUGUCUACCCAGAGCUAAAACACCAUCGUAAGACAGGCCGUCAUGUCCCACCACAAGGAAAGAGGAAAUAGACAUCUCUUCUGCAUUUUGGGGGAGAAUGAAAUAGCAGCAAGAGAGAAUGAGAAUGUUCUGUAAAAGGCAAAUACCAAAAUAGGGUUAGACUGGGUCAGCACUCCCCUGAGUAAGUCCUCGCAGGAUGAUAAGAGGUAGUGUUAAGUGAGUAAAAGGAAGAAGAUUAGGUUACACAACAUUAGAAAGCUUUCCUUUUUGAAAGUUUUUAUAGAACUUUUAACAUACCGAAUACUUUUGAGAAUUUCAGAAGACAAUAUGGCAUGCAGAAUUUUGAAAACACGUUUAGGUAGAGAACUUUUUUAUUUAUUAAAGAAAGUGAAAAAUUACGUAAUUUUUAUACAUUGAUUAUCCUGCUAUUCUACCAGUUUUUUUUUAAUGUAAGAAAGCAAUAAAGGCUGGGAUUCCAAAUCAGGGCUUUUAUUAUAUGGUGGGUGUCUAUGGGGCCAGAAAGCCCAGCCACAAAUUCAAAAAACUUUCUGUACCUGCUGAUCUUCCUUCCCUGUGAUCACCAACAGAUCCUACAAGAAGGGUCAUUGGAAUCAUGCCACCUGAGUCAUCCCAA
rnacentral:lncRNA from 10 species